rnacentral:rRNA from 1 species
CAGUAGCCACGGGAAUACGGAGGGUGCAAGCGUUAAUCGGAAUUACUGGGCGUAAAGCGUGCGCAGGCGGUUAUAUAAGACAGAUGUGAAAUCCCCGGGCUCAACCUGGGAACUGCAUUUGUGACUGUAUAGCUAGAGUACGGCAGAGGGGGAUGGAAUUCCGCGUGUAGCAGUGAAAUGCGUAGAUAUGCGGAGGAACACCGAUGGCGAAUGCAAUCCCCUGGGCCUGUACUGACGCUCAUGCACGAAAGCGUGGGGAGCAAACAGGAUUAGAUACCCCUGUAGUCCCUGUCUCUUAUAC